rnacentral:rRNA from 1 species
AUCAUGCAGUCGAACGAACUCUGGUAUUGAUUGGUGCUUGCAUCAUGAUUUACAUUUGAGUGAGUGGCGAACUGGUGAGUAACACGUGGGAAACCUGCCCAGAAGCGGGGGAUAACACCUGGAAACAGAUGCUAAUACCGCAUAACAACUUGGACCGCAUGGUCUGAGCUUGAAAGAUGGCUUCGGCUAUCACUUUUGGAUGGUCCCGCGGCGUAUUAGCUAGAUGGUGGGGUAACGGCUCACCAUGGCAAUGAUACGUAGCCGACCUGAGAGGGUAAUCGGCCACAUUGGGACUGAGACACGGCCCAAACUCCUACGGGAGGCAGCAGUAGGGAAUCUUCCACAAUGGACGAAAGUCUGAUGGAGCAACGCCGCGUGAGUGAAGAAGGGUUUCGGCUCGUAAAACUCUGUUGUUAAAGAAGAACAUAUCUGAGAGUAACUGUUCAGGUAUUGACGGUAUUUAACCAGAAAGCCACGGCUAACUACGUGCCAGCAGCCGCGGUAAUACGUAGGUGGCAAGCGUUGUCCGGAUUUAUUGGGCGUAAAGCGAGCGCAGGCGGUUUUUUAAGUCUGAUGUGAAAGCCUUCGGCUCAACCGAAGAAGUGCAUCGGAAACUGGGAAACUUGAGUGCAGAAGAGGACAGUGGAACUCCAUGUGUAGCGGUGAAAUGCGUAGAUAUAUGGAAGAACACCAGUGGCGAAGGCGGCUGUCUGGUCUGUAACUGACGCUGAGGCUCGAAAGUAUGGGUAGCAAACAGGAUUAGAUACCCUGGUAGUCCAUACCGUAAACGAUGAAUGCUAAGUGUUGGGAGGGUUUCCGCCUCUUUCAGUGCUGCAGCUAACGCAUUAAGCAUUCCGCCUGGGGAGUACGGCCGCAAGCUGA